GGGGUGGGGCUGGGAGGGGAGCCUGUUGGGGGCGGCGCGUCCAGCUCUGGGCCAGGGGGUCCAAAGUGCUCAGCCCCCGGGGCACAGCAGGACGUUUGGGGGCCUUCUUUCAGCAGGGGACAGCCCGAUUGGGGACAAUGGCGUCUCUUGGCCACAUCUUGGUUUUCUGUGUGAGUCUCAUCACCAUGGCCAAGGCAGAAAGUCCAAAGGAGCAAGACCCGUUCACUUAUGACUACCAGUCCCUGCGGAUCGGAGGCCUCAUCAUCGCCGGGAUCCUCUUCAUCCUGGGCAUCCUCAUUGUGCUCAGCAGAAGAUGCCGGUGCAAGUUCAACCAGCAGCAGAGGACUGGGGAACCCGAUGAAGAGGAGGGAACUUUCCGCAGCUCCAUCCGCCGUCUGUCCACCCGCAGGCGGUAGAAACACCUGGCGCGAUGGAAUCCGGCCAGGACUCCCCUGGCACCUGACGUCUCCCACGCUCCACCUGCGCGCCCACCGCCCCCUCCGCCGCCCCUUCCCCAGCCCUGCCCCGGCAGACUCCCCCUGCCGCCCAGACUUCCAAUAAAACCUGCUGCAGCGCGCCUUCGCCGCCAAAGCAUCCAGCAGCCCCCUGCUCCGGCCCAGCAUGGCGACCCCGACCCAGACCCCCACAAAGGCUCCUGAGGAACCUGACCCAUUUUACUACGACUACAACACGGUGCAGACUGUGGGCAUGACUCUGGCAACCAUCUUGUUCCUGCUGGGUAUCCUCAUCAUCAUCAGUAAGUGUGACCCGUCCCUGGGCUGCCUGGGCCUCCGGUUCCUCUGCUGGCUUUCGUGCAUAUCCUACACCCUAUGUCCUGUCUUCUUGUUCUGUCUCUCUCUCUCCCAACAGGCAAGAAGGUGAAGUGCAGGAAGGCGGACUCCAGGUCUGAGAGCCCAACCUGCAAAUCCUGUAAGUCCGAGCUUCCCUCUUCAGCCCCUGGUGGCGGCGGCGUGUAACACCUGCCCGAGGAACCUCCGCUGCCGACCCUGUCUGAGCGCGGGAGCCUGAGGACCGGGUGGAGGCGGUGGGGACCCAGCCGCGCGCCGGGAGCGCUCCCCGGAAUGAGCCGCCCCACCCACCCCAAGGCUGGAGCCGCUGCACCCUGCUGUCCCUCCCCAGGCCUUGGCAAUGAUGAUCCCCCAAAGAGCCCGUCUGCACCCCAGACCCGGGGCCUCAGGCCUCCAGCUCCUGGGAUCCGGGAGUCCAUCCCGGCCCAGCCCCGCCAGCAUCCCCGUGUACGGUCCCCCUGCACCUCCUUGUCUCAUCCCCGAAGAUCCGUCCCCCUGGGCCCUCAGUGUCCUUGUCUUGAGCUUAAUAAAUGUGCAUUUGGUUUUUUC